GCCAUUUAUCAAGGUGCCGGAGCUGAACCACGUGGCCUGAAAGUAUUGAGGCGGUCAUAAAUCUGAAACGCCAGGGAGGCAUGUUUCAGUCUAUGCAGGAAAGGGUCAGGAAACAUUCAGCACCAUGUUCAUCAUGACAGGACUGCAGAUGGCAUACAGAGUUUGGCUCAAAUCCAGAGCUAAUUAGUAGGAUGUGAUUUUUACCAAAGCAUAAGCAGGAAGCUGACAUCUGCUGCAUAGUCUUCAUGGUUUCAAUCACUUUAUGAUCAGAAUGUAUUGCUGACAAGUUGUCUGCACAGUACCUGCAGGCUGCAUCUCUUCAACGACAGGAAAUCACUGCUCACCGGCAUCAGCGUCGCCAGGAAGUCCCUGAUCACAUUCACACCUGGAAGCUGCCCAGUACAACCACAGCCUGAUCUGCUGCUGUUGGGGUUAUGGGCCUUGCUCAAGGGCACCUCACUGGUGGUAAAUAAUGGA